AUUGAACGCUGGCGGCAUGCCUUACACAUGCAAGUCGAACGGCAGCGGACCUUCGGGUACCGGCGAGUGGCGAACGGGUGAGUAGUAUAUCGGAACGUACCUUUCAGUGGGGGAUAACGUAGCGAAAGUUACGCUAAUACCGCAUAUUCUGUGAGCAGGAAAGCAGGGGAUCGCAAGACCUUGCGCUGAUUGAGCGGCCGAUAUCAGAUUAGCUAGUUGGUGAGGUAAAGGCUCACCAAGGCGACGAUCUGUAGCGGGUCUGAGAGGAUGAUCCGCCACACUGGAACUGAGACACGGUCCAGACUCCUACGGGAGGCAGCAGUGGGGAAUUUUGGACAAUGGGCGCAAGCCUGAUCCAGCCAUGCCGCGUGAGUGAAGAAGGCCU
rnacentral:rRNA from 1 species